GCUUGUUUAUUUCACUCCAGUCCCACAGGUGGCGCUGCUUGCUGUGUCACAGACGAACACAGCGCGGGAGAGUUUGGCUGAAGUAACUGGAAAUGUUGCUUAGAAAUAUACAUUGUUAUUCAACACGUAUAGACAGGCUGUGAGUUAUUAAAGCUUUUAGAGGAAUAUGAAGUGCUGAAUGAAAUGCAGAGAGAGACAGCGCGACAUUCAUUUCAGCGUGAGCGGUUAAUGUGUGCUUUGUGCGUCGUUACGGAUGAAAGGAAGCUAUAAUGGGUGACAGGACUCUACCUGAAUGGAUGAACAAACCUCAGGAAGAACAUACACCAGGACCCUAUAAAAAGAGCAUUCUGGAGGAUGGUCUUCCUUAUCUGGAGUUUGGAGGAACAGUCAUAUACAGCCAGGAAAGACACGACUGCUCAUUUUUAUCAGAAGAUUUAAGGUAAUAUAUUUGGCUGAAUCUCUUAAAAGCAUGCUUAGGUAAUUCCCCCAAAACCCAU
rnacentral:lncRNA from 1 species